AUUGAACGCUGGCGGAAUGCUUUACACAUGCAAGUCGAACGGCAGCACGGACUUCGGUCUGGUGGCGAGUGGCGAACGGGUGAGUAAUACAUCGGAACGUGCCCAGUCGUGGGGGAUAACGUAGCGAAAGCUACGCUAAUACCGCAUACGAUCUAAGGAUGAAAGCGGGGGAUCGCAAGACCUCGCGCGAUUGGAGCGGCCGAUGGCAGAUUAGGUAGUUGGUAGGGGAAAGGCCUACCAAGCCGACGAUCUGUAGCUGGUCUGAGAGGAUGAUCAGCCACACUGGGACUGAGACACGGCCCAGACUCCACGGGAGGCAGCAGUGGGGAGUUUUGGACAAUGGGCGCAAGCCUGAUCCAGCCAUUCCGCGUGCAGGAUGAAGGCCUUCGGGUUGUAAACUGCUUUUGUACAGAACGAAAAGGCUCUGGUUAAUACCCGGGGCUCAUGACGGUACUGUAAGAAUAAGCACCGGCUAACUACGUGCCAGCAGCCGCCGUAA
rnacentral:rRNA from 1 species